rnacentral:rRNA from 1 species
AUUGAACGCUGGCGGCAGGCCUAACACAUGCCAGUCGAACGGUAACAGGGAUCAUCUUGCUGAUUCGCUGACGAGUGGCGGACGGGUGAGUAAUGUCUGGGAAACUGCCUGAUGGAGGGGGAUAACUACUGGAAACGGUAGCUAAUACCGCAUAACGUCGCAAGACCAAAGAGGGGUACCUUCGGGCCUCUUGCCAUCGGAUGUGCCCAGAUGGGAUUAGCUAGUAGGUGGGGUAACGGCUCACCUAGGCGACGAUCCCUAGCUGGUCUGAGAGGAUGACCAGCGACACUGGAACUGAGACACGGUCCAGACUCCUACGGGAGGCAGCAGUGGGGAAUAUUGCACAAUGGGGGCAAGCCUGAUGCAGCCAUGCCGGGUGUAUGAAGAAGGCCUUCGGGUUGUAAAGUACUUUCAGCGGGGAGGAAGGGAGUAAAGUUAAUACCUUUGCUCAUUGACGGUACCCGCAGAAGAAGCACCGGCUAACUCCGUG